rnacentral:lncRNA from 1 species
UCUGAGAUGAGCGGUAUCAUUCAACCGCUUAACCUGCCACCCGGUUUUCCACGAAUGUUGCAACACGGUCACGGAGGAAUCCUCCACACAGAUCUUAUGCGUCAUUACCGAGCUGCAUCCGAGUACACCGGUCAGAAGACACUUAAUAGGUAACGAAUGUGUGAAAACUCCAAUGCAGGUCGAGAGCUGAGAAGAGGAACUCUUGCUGUUUACAUCACCAAGCUGUUGUUCAUCGUUCUGAUGAUUAAACAUCUCUUCACUACCCGUCGUGUUCAUCACCUGAAACCUGCUCUUCCCAGACUUCUUCCUCGUCAAACUUGGACGAUGAAUAGACGUAGCUAGCGAGUGAGGAUUACUACUCUGUGACAACCCUACUCGAGCAUUGUUGUGAUGUGUAGACCUAAGUCCGUUGAGAAACUGAACCAUCCGAAACUCAACUUGUCUGAGUGACUCACCUGACGGAGGUGAGAAGUCAGGUUGGCUUCUCUCUAUCAAACUCAGAGUCUCGGGCGUGUAGAUCUCUGAUCUGUGGAAGCCUUCCCAUUCUCCUAGACUCAUCUCAACGAUAGCGUCUGAGGACUGUACAUGCUCCUCCGGAAAAUUCAUCUCCUACAUAGAAGCAUCAAACGCAGCGUUUAAUCAAGAAUCAGUUACAAAUCAACAUUUCGUCUUCUUCAACGAUCCUAAACACUCUAUGAAGAGUAUCAAAGGCAAUGAUUCAUCUAUAACACAGCCUUAAGAUCUGAAGUGAGAUUACCUGGCAAACGGAAACGGCCAUGGAUCUAGCACGAUCCAGAGGCGAAGCGAAGACGGAGGCGAACCGAACGCCUUCGGAGUUCAAAAACACGGCGAGAGCCCUCGCCUGGCGUUUCCCGUUGGGGGUGAGAGCUGCCACGUGGCACCUCCCUCCGAUCAGAUCGGGCCUUAGGUCGAGAUCGCACUCUCCGUGGCUGAUUAGAUAAACCUCCGUGACGGCAGCGGCGCGAUCGUGCUCCACCGCGGAGGAGGAGACACCGGAGAAGAGAGGAGGAGGUGGGGCGAGGAGGACGUUGUAAGGGUCCCAGACUUUGAUCGAAGGUCCUAUUCGAGGCGUGCCGAGGGAAGAGAGCUGAGGAGAGAGAGGGGAGGCGGACGCGUGGCAGGGAAGCAUCUCGGGCUCUUGCUCGAGGACUUUCUUCACCAAAAGACUGUCCAGCUCGGUCCUUCUUCUGUUCAGUCCGCCGUUAGCAUCUUCUUCUUCUUCGAUUUCUGGUUCAUCUUCUUCGUCGUCUUCUUCUUCAUCGAGUAGCUGUGAAGACUGUGAUGAACCCAUCUCUUUGUUCAACGUGCUCGGAAAGUGAGAAAAGUUGCGGGGGCGAGGUUAAACCGGUAGAGUAAUGCUGCUUCCAGCGAAUAACAUUUUCAGAUCUUGAUGAGCUGUAAACCUCCAGAUUAAUUAGAAGGUUUUGAAUCUCACUGGUACGGCCCAAACGUAGCAAUAAAUAUUGGGCCUACCUGUCUAAAAUAUUCAAAAUCUUGGCCCUCAAGUAACACAUUUCUUUUCCAUAAUGAUUAGGCAUUAUAACCAUAGACUAACUCUAGGGUUUAAAAUGAAUUUGUGUCAGCACUAGUAAAUAUAGUCAAUUGACCUUGUUGGUGUAUUUUACCUACAAUAUUUUUAACAGUGACUUAAUCAUUCUUAACUUAAAGAAUUUACGCUAGCUUUCAAAAGUCCAAAAAUAUAUUUUAAAUUAAUAUGAUCUCAAAUAUAAUUUAUACUAAUAAAAUGGACCUUUUGAAGCUUCGUAGGCGUCCACGUCAGCGGAAAAAACUUAUUCUAAAAGAUGACACGUGGCAUUAACAAAAAAAAAAAAAAUACAUAUAAAGAAAAAUAAAUAAUAAGUAAAUAUAUAAUAUAAGAAAUAGAAAUGUUCAACGUACGUUGUACACCGUUUUCUUUUAGAUCCGUGAUUUUGAACAUAGCGUUGAAGCACAAGAGACUCGUAAACAAGAGCUAGAAAAGUUGGUUCAGGACCAGGAAAGUUUGAGAACCUCUCUUUUGCAAUGGUGCUACACCAGCUAUGGAGAGGUACACAUAGCUAUACUCUGUUAACAUCAUCUUAGAAAUCAAAUACCCGAAUCUGUUUUGAUCGUUUGGUCUAUAUAUGUAGGUUUUCAGCUCCUGGAUGCAUUUCUGUGCUGUGCGCAUAUUCGCUGAGAGCAUAAUGAGAUAUGGUUUACCUCCUGCGUUCUUGGUAAGUUAUGACUCCAAGCUAUGCUUUUUCAAGUGAAUCCCUCAACCCUGUUAACUCCCUGACCAAACUACUUCCUCUUUUCAUGACUUAUUUUCCAGGCAUGCGUCUUAUCUCCGGCUGUGAAGAGUGAAAAGAAAGUACGCUCCAUUCUUGAACGCUUGUGUGAUUCUACCAACAGGUAUGCUUUAUCGCUCUAGACAUAGGCUACAUGUAAGAAGUAGAAUGUUUGAGUCUGAUUGUAUGAAAAAACAAUGCAGUUUAUACUGGAAAAGCGAGGAGGAUGGAGGAGCUGCCAUGGCUGGUUUAGCCGGUGACUCGGAGACACAUCCUUAUGUCUCCUUCACGAUCAACCUUGCUUGAAAUUGAUGAGAGAUUGGUUUGAUGCUUCUUCUCCAUCUGUUAUGUUUGUUUGUGUUCUAUAUAUUUCAUUUUUUAUUUUUCGUAAUAUAUUUUGAAAAUAAAAGAAGGAAAUAUUAAGGUGGCACUCAAGAUACUGUAAUUUUAUUUUGGCCGGAGUCUUUUUAGAUUCCGAUGAGUUUCUGAUACUUGUGGAGGAGAGAAGAGGUUAUACAGUUGGUACCUUCUCAAAUAAUAAUAUUUUCUUAUUUCACUGUAACGUUUUAUGUAUUUAAGCUACUUUUCAUCAGUCAGAGCAAUUCAAAUUUGUUCGUUUUUACAAAAAAAACAAAUCUGACCGACUCAAUUUUUGUUCAUACUUUUUUCUCUUCGUAAAGUUGAGCUAUCCAUCCGCAGAAGUCACAUGGUUUGGAUGACACUAAAGUACUACUAACACAUCUGACUUCUGUAGGUAUAUUCCUAAUUAUACUGUUAAUUUCUUAAAUAAAUAAAUACACAUAAGUGUAACAGUAUCAACAUAGUACAUGUCGAAGUUCGCAAGGUUUAAGAACAAAAAUAACAAGGAGAAGGAAAGUAAAAGCGAAACACAAAGAUUACAACAUCAAUAAAGUACAGAUAGAAAGCUAUAGAUCCCAACAAUGACCAGAACCAAAGGAACAUCAGGACGGAGCCGCAUGGAGAUGCCUGCAACCUUCCCAUUAAACUGGCCUGAGCUAGGACCAGGGGCCUCUGUUUCUGGAGCAGGAGAUGCAGCAGUAUCGAAUGUACGGUCUUUGGUCGGAGAAGGGAAAAACGAGGACAUAUCCGGUGCAUUGCUAUACGGUAAGACAGCAGGAGAAGCUAAGAUUGUGGGUUCACUGCAAACCAGAGUCCAUUGAACCGACAAAACGAUCAAGAGAAACACAGAAACUGAGAAGCUAGACGACAGAGCCAUGGGUGUUUCUUUUUCUUUUCCUUCUGUUCUGCAGAGAAGAAAGAUACUUCUUCCAAGUGAUUAUAAAGAACAAAACAGAGAAAAGACAGAUUAUUUUGUUCCCAUGUGUGUAUGUGCGUGUCUUACUAAGAAACAAAGAAGUGAAUGAAUGUCUUCACGGACUACAUUAUGGGUCCGUAACUGUUUUCACAUGCCUGUUUUGUUUCUACCUCUUAAGUCAUGUGAUUGCAUUUACCUCUUCUCACUUCCACCACCUAAGGGUAAUAAGUAAUGUGCUAAUCAUUCAUAAUAUAAGAUUCUUUUUACCUUUGGUUUAAUAAGAAUUACAUAAAAUAUUCUUUUAGAAAGCUUGCAAAUGAAAUGAAUCAAACAAAACAAAGAUGGGCUAUAAAGACAACAAAAAUUAACGAUUUAAUCCCUUUUUUCUUUCUCAAAAACAAACAAUAUAAGAGGCUCGUGACAGUAGCAUGUAAUCCGCAAAGCUUGUUGAUAUUCUUCUGCAGACUCAAAUGGCGUGUGAAUGUCUUGACAAUAAUGAUGCUACAACAGUCUGAGAUGAGCGGUAUCAUUCAACCGCUUAACCUGCCACCCGGUUUUCCACGAAUGUUGCAACACGGUCACGGAGGAAUCCUCCACACAGAUCUUAUGCGUCAUUACCGAGCUGCAUCCGAGUACACCGGUCAGAAGACACUUAAUAGGUAACGAAUGUGUGAAAACUCCAAUGCAGGUCGAGAGCUGAGAAGAGGAACUCUUGCUGUUUACAUCACCAAGCUGUUGUUCAUCGUUCUGAUGAUUAAACAUCUCUUCACUACCCGUCGUGUUCAUCACCUGAAACCUGCUCUUCCCAGACUUCUUCCUCGUCAAACUUGGACGAUGAAUAGACG